rnacentral:rRNA from 1 species
CCCCUAGAUGUUCUGGGCCGCACGCGCGCUACACUGAACAGUUCAACAAGUCUUAACCUUGGCCGAUAGGUCUGGGUAAUCUUUGAACGCUGUUCGUGAUUGGGAUAGACCUUUGCAAUUAUGGGUCUUCAACGAGGAAUUCCUAGUAAACGCAAGUCAUCAGCUUGCAUUGAUUACGUCCCUGCCCUUUGUACACACCGCCCGUCGCACCUACCGAUUGAAUGGUCCGGUGAAGCCUCGGGAUUGUGGCCAGUUCACUUUAUUGGGAGUUGGCUGUGAGAACUUGUCUAAACCUUAUCAUUUAGAGGAAGGUGAAGUCGUAACA